CCUACGGGAGUCAGCAGUGGGGAAUAUUGCACAAUGGGGGAAACUCUGAUGCAGCGACGCCGCGUGAAGGAAGACGUAUUUCGGUAUGUAAACUUCUAUCAGCAGGGAAGAAAAUGACGGUACCUGACUAAUAAGCCCCGGCUAACUACGUGCCAGCCGCCGCGGUACUACGUAGGGGGCAAGCGUUAUCCGGAUUUACUGGGUGGAAAGGGAGCGUAGGCGGUUUAGCAAGUCAGAAGUGAAAGCCCGGGGCUCAACUCCGGGACUGCUUUUGAAACUGUUGAACUAGAUUGCAGGAGAGGUAAGUGGAAUUCCUAGUGUAGCGGUGAAAUGCGUAGAUAUUAGGAGGAACACCAGUGGCGAAGGCGGCUUACUGGACUGUAAAUGACGCUGAGGCUCGAAAGCGUGGGGAGCAAACAGGAUUAGAUACCCGAGUAGUC
rnacentral:rRNA from 1 species